rnacentral:ncRNA from 2 species
AAUUCAGGUAGAGGUUGCGUUCUUUAUCAGUACCUUUUAUGAGGUGUCAGGCGCUGUUAAGGAGAAGGAAAAGGAAAGGACGCCGAAAGCGGUGAGCCGCCUGAGGGUUUGCUGCUUGGGCAUACGGUUAAGAGCCGUAUGACUGUCAUCAACAGAUGGAGAGCUAUCAUUUUC